AGUAGCAAUACUGGUGAAGAUCUAGCGGCGAACGGGUGAGUAACACGUGAGAAACCUGCCCCGAAACUCUGGGAUAACACGAGGAAACCCGUGCUAAUACCGGAUACCUUCUUUUGGCCGCAUGGUCAGAUGAAGAAAGAUUUAUCGGUUUGGGAGGGUCUCGCGGCCUAUCAGCUAGUUGGUGGGGUAAUGGCCUACCAAGCCGACGAUCCAUAGCUGGUUUGAGAGGAUGAUCAGCCACACUGGGACUGAGACACGGCCCAGACUCC
rnacentral:rRNA from 1 species